rnacentral:rRNA from 1 species
UACGGAGGGGGCAAGCGGUGUUCGGAAUUACUGGGCGUAAAGGGCGCGUAGGCGGUCAGUUGCGUCGGGUGUGAAAGCCCCGGGCUCAACCUGGGAGGUGCACUUGAUACGGGCUGGCUGGAAUCCGGGAGAGGAUGGUGGAAUUCCCAGUGUAGAGGUGAAAUUCGUAGAUAUUGGGAAGAACACCGAUGGCGAAGGCAGCCAUCUGGACCGGGAUUGUCGCUGAGGCGCGAAAGCGUGGGGAGCAAACAGG